GCUCAGGACGAACGCUGGCGGCGUGCUUAACACAUGCAAGUCGAACGAUGAAGCGGUGCUUGCACCGUGGAUUAGUGGCGAACGGGUGAGUAAUACGUGAGUGACCUACCUUUGACUCUGGGAUAAGCCUGGGAAACUGGGUCUAAUACCGGAUACGACCAAUCUCUGCAUGGGGUGUUGGUGGAAAGCGUUAUGGAGUGGUUUUAGAUGGGCUCACGGCCUAUCAGCUUGUUGGUGAGGUAAUGGCUUACCAAGGCGACGACGGGUAGCCGGCCUGAGAGGGUGACCGGCCACACUGGGACUGAGACACGGCCCAGACUCCUACGGGAGGCAGCAGUGGGGAAUAUUGCACAAUGGGCGCAAGCCUGAUGCAGCGACGCCGCGUGAGGGAUGACGGCCUUCGGGUUGUAAACCUCUGUUAGCAUCGAAGAAGCGAAAGUGACGGUAGGUGCAGAGAAAGCGCCGGCUAACUACGUGCCAGCAGCCGCGGUAAUACGUAGGGCGCGAGCGUUGUCCGGAAUUAUUGGGCGUAAAGAGCUUGUAGGCGGUUGGUCGCGUCUGCUGUGAAAGGCCGGGGCUUAACUCCGGUUUUGCAGUGGGUACGGGCUAACUAGAGUGCAGUAGGGGAGACUGGAAUUCCUGGUGUAGCGGUGGAAUGCGCAGAUAUCAGGAGGAACACCGAUGGCGAAGGCAGGUCUCUGGGCUGUAACUGACGCUGAGAAGCGAAAGCAUGGGGAGCGAACAGGAUUAGAUACCCUGGUAGUCCAUGCCGUAAACGUUGGGCACUAGGUGUGGGGGACAUUCCACGUUUUCCGCGCCGUAGCUAACGCAUUAAGUGCCCCGCCUGGGGAGUACGGCCGCAAGGCUAAAACUCAAAGGAAUUGACGGGGGCCCGCACAAGCGGCGGAGCAUGCGGAUUAAUUCGAUGCAACGCGAAGAACCUUACCAAGGCUUGACAUGCAUUAGAUCGCGUCAGAGAUGGCGUUUCCCUUCGGGGCUGGUGUACAGGUGGUGCAUGGUUGUCGUCAGCUCGUGUCGUGAGAUGUUGGGUUAAGUCCCGCAACGAGCGCAACCC
rnacentral:rRNA from 1 species